GACGAACGCUGGCGGCGUGCUUAACACAUGCAAGUCGAACGGAAAGGCCUGCUUUCCCUUGUGGUUUGCGGGUACUCGAGUGGCGAACGGGUGAGUAACACGUGAGUGAUCUGCCCCCAACUUGGGUAUAAGCCUGGGAAACUGGGUCUAAUUCCCGAUAGGACUGCAGGGUGGUGCCUGUGGUGGAAAACGAUUUUCUAGUGGUUGGGGAUGAGCUCGCGGCCUAUCAGCUUGUUGGUGGGGUAAUGGACUACCAAGGCGGAGAGGCGUAGCCGGACGGGGAGCGUGGACAGGCGCAUUGAGACUGGGAUACGACCCAGACGGGUGCGAGAAGCAGGGGUGGGGACGAUUGGGCCGAGAGCGUAAGGCUGCAGCGGCGACGCAGCGUGGAGGAUGACGGGCUUCGGGUUGUCAACUCCUAUCGACCACGAGAAGGGCACCUGGGUGGGCAGGUGGUGACGGUAGUGGAAGAAGAAGCCCCGGCUAACUACGUG
rnacentral:rRNA from 1 species